rnacentral:rRNA from 1 species
CAGUCGCCGCGGGAAUACGUAGGUCCCGAGCGUUAUCCGGAGUGACUGGGCGUAAAGAGUUGCGUAGGCGGUCAAGUUAGCGAGCGAUGAAAACUAUCGGCUCAACCGAUAGCUUGUCGUUCGAACUGCUUGACUCGAGAGUAUCAGAGGUCGCUGGAAUUCCUAGUGUAGCAGUGAAAUGCGUAGAGAUUAGGAGGAACACCAGUGGCGAAGGCGGCUUUUUGGCCUGUAACUGACACUGAGGCGCGAAAGCGUGGGGAGCAAACAGGAUUAGAUACCCCAGUAGUCCCUGUCUCUUAUU